ensembl:lncRNA
CUAAAACCAGCAGAUGACUGCCCUCCAUGGAAUGAGUUUGGACACCUUCUGAUCUAGUGCCUUUCGACAGAAGCACAGAUCCAGGAACAGUCUCCAUUUCCUCAACCUUAACUAGUGUAGUAUAAGUUAACUACUAGGGGGGGGGAUCUGCAUGAAAACUGACCUGAGAUCAGUGUCGUGUUUUAUAAGAUGACCACUUCCUCUCUUUUACAGGUGACAUUCCUUUCCUCCUUAAACAUGUGUCGCGUUGUAUUCCUCCCCCCACUGAUUCAGUAGCAGGAAGGAGUUUUGAGGUGUCGUGUUUUAUUCCCCCCCACCCCCACUGAUUCAGUAGCAGGAAGGAGUUUUGAGGUGUCGCGUUGUAUUCCCUCCCCCACUGAUUCAGUAGCAGGAAGGAGUUUUAAGGUGUCGCGUUGUAUUCCCUCCCCCCCCACUGAUUCAGUAGCAGGAAGGAGUUUUGAGGUGUCACGUUGUAUUCCCUCCCCCACUGAUUCAGUAGCAGGAAGGAGUUUUGAGGUGUCGCGUUUUAUUCCCUCCCCCACUGAUUCAGUAGCAGGAAGGAGUUGAGGUGUCGCGUUUUAUUCCCUCCCCCCCACUGAUUCAGUAGCAGGAAGGAGUUUUGAGGUGUUACGAUAUCAUAGAGCCUUUUAGCGUCACAGAAUACCAGUCUACUGAUAGCAUUAAUACAACGUUUGUUAGUUUGUACAUAUACCAGUAAUAGGAUCCAUGUUUCUCUAUCAUGUCUUUUACAUUUC